rnacentral:rRNA from 1 species
GGGGACAAAGUGACAGGUGGUGCAUGGUUGUCGUCAGCUCGUGUCGUGAGAUGUUGGGUUAAGUCCCGCAACGAGCGCAACCCUUAAGCUUAGUUGCCAUCAUUAAGUUGGGCACUCUAAGUUGACUGCCGGUGACAAACCGGAGGAAGGUGGGGAUGACGUCAAAUCAUCAUGCCCCUUAUGAUUUGGGCUACACACGUGCUACAAUGGACAAUACAAAGGGCAGCGAAACCGUGAGGUCAAGCAAAUCCCAUAAAGUUGUUCUCAGUUCGGAUUGUAGUCUGCAACUCGACUACAUGAAGCUGGAAUCGCUAGUAAUCGUAGAUCAGCAUGCUACGGUGAAUACGUUCCCGGGUCUUGUACACACCGCCCGUCACACCACGAGAGUUUGUAACACCCGAAGCCGGUGGAGUAACCUUUUAGGAGCUAGCCGUCGAAGGCGGGACAAAUGAUUGGGGUGAAGUCGUAACAAGGUAGCCGUAUCGGAAGGUGCGGCUGGAUCACCUCCUUU